GAAGUCGGAUGCGCUUACGUUCCUCUGCUCUCGGCCUGUUUACGGUGUCGCGUGGUGCCAGUGUUAGUGAGUGUUGUGCCAUUGUGCUACUGUGCCGUCGACGAUCUCAGCACGGUUUCUCACGAUCGUGUUGUUAUCUGGUGGUCUCCUUGAUGUUGUCCAUGUUCUCUUUGUUAGUCGCGACCGUUGGCACCCCGAACAACGUUGCAGCCGAAUGAUACCCGUCACACGCACCGCACCAGGGAGUAGAAGACCGGCGCCAGAGUGCCUCUGCGCGUCGGACCCCAACAUCGCUGGCAAAAUCUAACGCACUGACCAUCUCUCACGUCACAGGUCUCAUAAACUGCAACAGGAUCAGCGUACCCUACGAUGUUGGGGCCUCAAGGCGAUGCAUGCCACCUCAACUAUGCGGAGCCAAGGAGCGAGGUCCACGACCACGGAGGAAUCGGGCCCAAUAGAUGCUCCACCAAGCUGCCCGCACCCGAGCCUGCGCUCGAAUGUGAUGCUGAUGAACCAGGCGUGCUGGUCUGGCGCGAUACUAGGCUUAAGUCAUUAGGUUUAAACACCGAGCACCCCCGGUAUAAGGGUCCCUGGGGCAGGAGGAAAUGCCUGUUCCCUCUACUGUUUA